rnacentral:rRNA from 1 species
UCGACUAGUCAGUAAUAC